UACGUAGGGUGCGAGCGUUGUCCGGAAUUACUGGGCGUAAAGGGCUCGUAGGCGGCCAACUAAGUCCGGCGUGAAAUCCCCAGGCUUAACCUGGGAACUGCGUCGGAUACUGGAUGGCUUGAAUUCGGGAGAGGGAUGCAGAAUUCCAGGUGUAGCGGUGAAAUGCGUAGAUAUCUGGAGGAAUACCGGUGGCGAAGGCGGCAUCCUGGACCGACAUUGACGCUGAUGAGCGAAAGCUAGGGGAGCAAACGGG
rnacentral:rRNA from 1 species